rnacentral:SRP_RNA from 1 species
ACGGCCGUCGGUCCCGGCCGGUUCCAGGGACACGGUCUGGUGGAGGGACAGCCGGAGUGACUUUACUCCCACGGUUGUCUCCUGGUUCUGACCAGGCCCGAAAGGAAGC